UACGUAGGGUGCAAGCGUUGUCCGGAAUUAUUGGGCGUAAAGAGCUCGUAGGCGGUUUGUCGCGUCGGCUGUGAAAACCUGGGGCUCAACCCCGGGCCUGCAGCCGAUACGGGCAAGCUAGAAUUCGGUAGGGGAGACUGGAAUUCCUGGUGUAGCGGUGGAAUGCGCAGAUAUCAGGAGGAACACCAAUAGCGAAGGCAGCUCGCUGGGACGGUACUGACGCUAAGGCGCGAAAGCGUGGGGAGCGAACAGG
rnacentral:rRNA from 1 species